UCGAGCCAACGCCAGCCGAGGACCCUACUAUUUCCUUUCCCCUCGUGGCUGUGUCCUAGAGCAGUGCCGCCGAUUUCCUCUGUGCCAACUCCGACUACUUGACGCAACCAUCCAGCCGCCCUCAGUGUGCCCUAGAUCGUCGGCGCCGAUUGGGGCUCAGGACAUAGAGGUCAAGUUGAGCCAGGAGAAUUAAGUGUUGUGGUGAUUUUGGGAUUCAACAGCCAUUCAUUUCAGCCACCCGGGUCCAGCAGCCAUGAACUUUGCAGUGGAUCAGUGAUUUCCUCUUCUGAUCUUCUUCUUUGUUGUGUUUUCUCUGCUGUGCUUGUUUUUCCUCCUGGCUGUGGAUCAAGGGCACGAGAUUGGAGAGGAAGAGUGAAGAAGUCUUUGUUGAGAAGUUUCUAUUCUUGUCCAACGACUGCAUUUCCUUGCCGUGUGUUAACAGGGAGCAACUAUAAUAAGGGAACAUUUGAUGUGGAGGGCAGCAUCCUUUUACCCUGUUUUAGUUGGCCAGCAUUGUUAACUGGCGAUCACAGCAUCGGUCAUUCUGUUUUGGGCAGGGAAACCCUUUGACCCUGAGCCACCAGCGACCAUCCUGGAUUUUGGGACUUUGACGCGAGACGAGCAUCUCGACGUUGGACUUGACUGGAUUGAACCUGCU